rnacentral:rRNA from 1 species
AUUGAACGCUAGCGGGAUGCCUUACACAUGCAAGUCGAACGGAGUGGCGCACGGGGGAGUAAUGUAUCGGAACGUUCCCAGUAGCGGGGGACAACUACGCGAAAGCGUAGCUAAUACCGCACACUAUUGGAGCGGCAGAUAUCGGAUUAGCUAGCUGGUGGGGUAACGGCUCACCAAGGCGACGAACCGUAGCUGGGUUGAGAGGACGACCAGCCACACUGGGACUGAGACAUGGCCAGGACUCCGACGGGAGGCAGGAGUGGGGAAUGUUGGACAAUGGAGGAAACCCUGAUGCAGCCAUCCCGCGUGUGCUAUGAAGGCAUUCGGGUUGUAGAGCACUUUUGGCAGGAAAGCGGUACAUGGAGAAUAAGCACCGGCUAACUACUGGCCAGCCGCCGCGGUAAUAC